AUACGUAGGGGGCGAGCGUUGUCCGGAAUGAUUGGGCGUAAAGGGCGCGUAGGCGGCGCGGUAAGUCUGGAGUGAAAGUCCUGCUUUCAAGGUGGGAAUUGCUUUGGAUACUGCCGCGCUUGAGUGCAGGAGAGGCUAUCGGAAUUCCCGGUGUAGCGGUGAAAUGCGUAGAGAUCGGGAGGAACACCAGUGGCGAAGGCGGGUAACUGGACUGCAACUGACGCUGAGGCGCGUAAGUGUGGAGAGCAAACAGGAUUAGAUACCCUGGUAGUCCCCACUGUAAACGAGGAAUGCUAGGUGUAAGAGGUAUCGACCCCUUUUGUGCCGGAGUCAACACAAUAAGCAUUCCGCCUGGGGAGUACGGCCGCAAGGUUGAAACUCAAAGGAAUUGACGGGG
rnacentral:rRNA from 1 species